CCUACGGGAGGCAGCAGUGGGGAAUAUUGCACAAUGGGCGCAAGCCUGAUGCAGCGACGCCGCGUGAGGGAUGACGGCCUUCGGGUUGUAAACCUCUUUCAGUAGGGAAGAAGCGAGAGUGACGGUACCUGCAGAAGAAGCGCCGGCUAACUACGUGCCAGCAGCCGCGGUAAUACGUAGGGCGCAAGCGUUAUCCGGAUUUAUUGGGCGUAAAGAGCUCGUAGGCGGUUUGUCGCGUCUGCCGUGAAAGUCCGAGGCUCAACCUCGGAUCUGCGGUGGGUACGGGCAGACUAGAGUGAUGUAGGGGAGACUGGAAUUCCUGGUGUAGCGGUGAAAUGCGCAGAUAUCAGGAGGAACACCGAUGGCGAAGGCAGGUCUCUGGGCAUUUACUGACGCUGAGGAGCGAAAGCAUGGGGAGCGAACAGGAUUAGAUACCCUGGUAGUCCAUGCCGUAAACGUUGGGCACUAGGUGUGGGGGACAUUCCACGUUUCCGCGCGUAGCUAACGCAUAGUAGCCGCCGUCGGNGGUACGGCCGGCGACGACGAACGUACAANAGAGUAGUACGGCGUGAGACGUGCCGACGGACGACGACGACGGGAGGAGG
rnacentral:rRNA from 1 species